CUAUCCUACGGGGGGCAGCAGUGGGGAAUAUUGCACAAUGGGGGAAACCCUGAUGCAGCGACGCCGCGUGAGUGAAGAAGUAUUUCGGUAUGUAAAGCUCUAUCAGCAAGGAAGAAGCAAGACGGUACCUGACUAAGAAGCCCCGGCUAACUACGUGCCAGCAGCCGCGGUAAUACGUAGGGGGCAAGCGUUAUCCGGAUUUACUGGGUGUAAAGGGAGCGUAGACGGUCCUGCAAGCCAGAUGUGAAAGCCCGGGGCUCAACCCCGGGACUGCAUUUGGAACUGUAAGGCUAGAGUGUCGGAGG
rnacentral:rRNA from 1 species